GAUGAACGCUGGCGGCGUGCCUAAUACAUGCCAGUCGAGCGAACAGACGAGGAGCUUGCUCCUCUGACGUUAGCGGCGGACGGGUGAGUAACACGUGGAUAACCUACCUAUAAGACUGGGAUAACUUCGGGAAACCGGAGCUAAUACCGGAUAACAUGUUGAACCGCAUGGUUCAACAGUGAAAGACGGUCUUGCUGUCACUUAUAGAUGGAUCCGCGCCGCAUUAGCUAGUUGGUAAGGUAACGGCUUACCAAGGCAACGAUGCGUAGCCGACCUGAGAGGGUGAUCGGCCACACUGGAACUGAGACACGGUCCAGACUCCUACGGGAGGCAGCAGUAGGGAAUCUUCCGCAAUGGGCGAAAGCCUGACGGAGCAACGCCGCGUGAGUGAAGAAGGUCUUCGGAUCGUAAAACUCUGUUAUUAGGGAAGAACAAAUGUGUAAGUAACUAUGCACGUCUUGACGGUACCUAAUCAGAAAGCAACGGCUAACUACGUG
rnacentral:rRNA from 1 species